UACGUAGGGGGCAAGCGUUGUCCGGAUUUAUUGGGCGUAAAGCGCGUGUAGGCGGUCCGGUAAGUCGGCUGUGAAAGUCCAGGGCUCAACCCUGGGAUGCCGGUCGAUACUGCCGGACUAGAGUUCGGAAGGGGCUACUGGAAUUCUCGGUGUAGCGGUGAAAUGCGUAGAUAUCGAGAGGAACACCUGCGGCGAAGGCGGCCAUCUGGACCGCAACUGACGCUGGAGGCGACGAAAGCGUGGGGAGCAAACAGG
rnacentral:rRNA from 1 species